UACGUAGGGGGCAAGCGUUGUCCGGAUUUAUUGGGCGUAAAGAGCGUGUAGGCGGCCAUACAGGUCAGCUGUGAAAACUCGAGGCUCAACCUCGAGACGUCGGUUGAAACCGUAUGGCUAGAGUCCGGAAGAGGAGAGUGGAAUUCCCGGUGUAGCGGUGAAAUGCGCAGAUAUCGGGAAGAACACCCGUGGCGAAGGCGGCUCUCUGGGACGGUACUGACGCUGAGACGCGAAAAGCGUG
rnacentral:rRNA from 1 species